ACGGAAGGCAGCAGUGAGGGAUAUUGCACAAUGGGGGAAACCCUGAUGCAGCGACGUCGCGUGAGGGAAGAAGGUUUUUGGAUUGUAAACCUCUGUCUUUGGAGAAGAUAAUGACGGUAUCCAAAGAGGAAGCUCCGGCUAACUACGUGCCAGCAGCCGCGGUAAUACGUAGGGGGCGAGCGUUGUCCGGAAUUACUGGGUAUAAAGGGAGCGUAGGCGGGUUUGUAAGUUGAAUGUGAAAUUUAUGGGCUUAACUCAUAAACUGCGUUCAAAACUGCAGAUCUUGAGUAGAGUAGAGGCAGGCGGAAUUCCUAGUGUAGCGGUGAAAUGCGUAGAUAUUAGGAGGAACACCAGUGGCGAAGGCGGCCUGCUGGGCUUCAACUGACGCUGAGGCUCGAAAGCAUGGGGAGCAAACAGGAUUAGAUACCCUGGUA
rnacentral:rRNA from 1 species